UACGAGGGGGGCGAGCGUUGUUCGGAAUUAUUGGGCGUAAAGGGUGCGUAGGCGGCCUGACAAGUCUGAUGUGAAAUCCCUGGGCUCAACCUAGGGCCUGCAUCGGAAACUGUCGGGCUUGAGUAUGGGAGAGGUGAGUGGAAUUUCCGGUGUAGCGGUGAAAUGCGUAGAUAUCGGAAGGAACACCUGUGGCGAAAGCGGCUCACUGGACCAUUACUGACGCUGAGGCACGAAAGCUAGGGGAGCAAACAGG
rnacentral:rRNA from 1 species